CUUGAUUUGUAAAUUGCAGAGCUGGUUUCGUUAAAACGCAAAGAAAAACCUGAGUUUUCAGCCUUUCAGGCAGAAAUUAUCUUGUGUAGUCUGCCCCAUAUUGCAUAUCAAAUUGCGUGUGAAAUAUUUUAGAACUGUGAAGCCUUUGAUCAAUAUUCUAGAAUCUACGUUUUGACGUCAUGAGAUAAACCUCCUCGUUUUCAAAGUCGAUUAUCGUAAAUUGAGAACAGUCUUUCUUGAAUUUAAUACGC
rnacentral:lncRNA from 1 species